CAAAACACAGUGGCUGUCACUUUUGAGAAACAAAUAACACAGAGCUUUGUCCUGCUGCUGCCUUGCAGCUGCAGCUGGGCAGCAUCACUCUGCCCCUCCAGCUCGAGCACAGCACCACUGUGUCCCCGGGGCGCCAGCGCUGUCACCAAGAGGGAACAGCAUUUGCUUUAGCUGCGCUUCCAGCAUAAAGGAGACAAAAGCCCAAAACUGCUUGCUCCAGAGAGGCUGAACAGGAUUACUUUGUGACUUCUUUUUAAAAGAACCCAGUGAAUCAGAAGGAAAGAAAAAGACGUUUAAGAAGAUGACAUUGCCGAUUGUUUUCCAGCGUGAAGAACUGGAGAGCUGAAGGGAGGACAGAGCGUGAGGGAAAGUGAAAGAGAAAAGAAAGCGUGAAUUCAUCUGUGCUGUGGCACUGUGAGACUAUUGAAAAGCUGUUAUUUUCCUUCAGAGUCUUCAGGAGCUCUUGAGUCCAAAGCUACCUGUGGGGCUCUGACAGAAGAGCACAAGACUGGACACCUUGAGCUCCUGCCAGUGCUCCCUGGUCUCGAUGCCCGGUGACAGAGGAAAAAGCUGAUUGCCCAGAACUUUUGUGUGUCCAUUGACUCUGGGCUCAGGAUGCUUUCCCAGGUUUGUGAGACACAUAUCACAACCUGUGUGAAGUGGAAGUUUUCUGCAGAGAUUGGGCUACUGGAGAGAUCCCAGAACUGAAAACUCUGCCUGUGUUGUGUCAGAAGAAUAUUUGGGCACAGAAUUCAGUUAUCUGAGAGAAGUUUUGGUUCCUGUUCAAAGAAAUCAUCAAUCCAACGAGUUUACAGUAAAUGAUUUUAUUAAUUUUUGGGGGGAAGAUUUCUCUGCUAUUUAAUCUGUUUUGCAGCUCCAUGAUGGGAAUGGCUCCUCUUCCAAUCCUGUGACUCGAGUCAGACUGGCAACAACAGUGCCUUUCUCCUCCUCCUCCUCCUCACUCCAACAGUAAAUUCCUUUGCUGGGCUGCACCUUGAAUUCAGCAGUUUUAACUCAGCUUCUUCACAUGCACCAUCAAUACUGGGGGAACUUCGUGGCCCAGAGUCUUAGCAACAAUCAAAUGUAAAACUAUCCCUGCGAGGUGAGCUGUUGCUCAGGAGCAGAAUCUCAGUCACUGACUGAGGAGUCUGAAGAGUUUUUUUUCUGAAUUUUACCUCGAGUUACUCCUGUGCCAGGACAAAAUGAGCUUCAUUCUGUUGUGUGAGUGGUUGCUGCUCAAAUGAACACAGUGUUCGAUGCAUCUUCCAUGGAAAAUUGCUAGAAAGCAGAGGAACUGAGAAGAGGAGGAACUUUUUAAAAACUGUGUAUCCAGAGCUAUUCUUGUGCUAUUUAUACAAAGCCUUUUGCAUCUGUGACUGCAUGUUAGAGAGGUACAAAAUGUCCUUCCAGAGCAAACUUACUCAGACCAAUUCAGACGUAUUUGGCAGCUCAUAAAGGUGUUUAACUGUUCGUGUAUCUGGGUAGAAGACUCAAGUACUUUUGAUUUUAAGACUGAAAUCAGGUGUUAAUAGUGACUUUUUCUCUCAACCUGCCACUAAGAUGAAAAUGCCCUUUUUCAAGUAGAAUUUGCCCAUGUCUAGCACUGCCAUUUUUUGUAUAGCAAGCACACAAAACUUCACUGAGCUUUGUAACCCUCCUUCCCUUCCCCAAUUCCUAUUAACUCCUGUAAAAAACACAAUUCCCAUUAACCCCUGUAAGAAACGCUCUUUGGGACUGUCACCUUGGAAACAUUUCAUGUAUUAGGUGUUAUAUAUGUGGAAAAAUAUUUACAAGUGUGGAAAGGAAAAUCGUGGCAGUACCAGGCCAUACUUUACUAGGUUGGUCCUGUUUCAUAUGGAUCCCUCUUCCAGCUGUGAUGGAAUCUGAUUUGCUCUUCCAUUCACGUGCAUCC